ensembl:lncRNA
AUAGUUUCUCCUGCGGGCGAACCUUGUUAAUAAGAAUAGGAUGCACCUGUGUAUUUCAGAUUGGUUCCUUUUCCCCUCCUCCUGCUGGAAGCCGGAGAGGAUUUUCCUCCCACGUUCACUAUGACCUGGUUGAGCAGCUAGAGGUAAAACUAACAAACAUGAGCCCCCUUCAUCCCCCUCCAUAACUGGACCCCCUGGAGCUUUUCUCUCGCUCAGAUUUUCCACACGGAGCCUCCAGCAUUCCAUCAAUUUCAGUUCAGGUGACCUUACCCUGGCCUCGAUUCCUGCGGAGGCUGCUGCUCACGGAUUUCUGGUCCAGAUCCAACUACUGCUGGAGACCAAACAGCCAGGAAGUGGCAAUGCUGGGACUUGAACAGAGGCCAUUGCCCACACUUGGUGGAUGCCCUGUGCAAAUGCUCACCUUUGAUUGCAGAACAAAUAGAACUAUGUGAAAAUCAUCGGACAAGCUGCCUGACUAGAGUCUGGCAUUUCAUAUUGCACCAACUGCUAUCUGAUUCCUACCAGUUUCCCACACCCCUCGUGAGUGCGAAGACUGGCGUUAAUUGUCAUUGACGUUGGCAGACGGUGGCGACUGACCAGUUACACUAAUACUUCUUCAACCAAAGCAAGUGACAUACCUAAGCUCAACAUCACUGGGAUGGAGAAAUAUAAACCCAAACUUCUGUAACAGUCUUACUGAAAAUUGGAUUCCAGUAGGACCCAUGGGAUAAUUUAAUUGUUAGCUCUCUGAAUGACAUUUUGACCAGUUCUAAGAACAGUGUCAAAGUCCGUACCAGAACAGAGAUCAACUGAAUUGUCCAUUCGUCCUAACUAAGAUCAGUGUCAUAUGACUGAGUACUGGCCAGUGAAAUAUUGGUAAACAUGGUGCAUGCAGACUCUGGGCCUGGCCCAUGGAACAGUGCCGUGAAGUACACGUCCUAUUUCUCUUUUUCCCUUCACAUUCCAUAAUGAUCUUGAACAUCAAAUACUAGAGAGAAUGAUCCUGCAGGAUAGGAGAAAUGAGGACAUCCAAAUGACUGCCAGAGCAGAACCCCUUGCCAACCACAGUGGUUUGUCACAUGACUGAGUUACUGGGGUGAGUCUGAGAUUUUGGGGUGUCUUAAGCAGUUAGCAUACUCCAACUGACACAGUUUUGGUACCAAGCAUAGCAUCUCACUGUAGCAAAAGCUUUGACUACAUGUCAUCGGCUUUGUGAUCAGAGACCGGACAAUAAAGAAACUGAUUUUCAAAGCUGGAAAAUUGGUCAUCCAUGAUACAUUGGAGCAAAACUUUUGGUGACACCGUCGCCUGCAAUAACCUGGAAGAAAGUCCGUGCCACGAGCUUUAAGAGAAAUGGUUGAAAGAAUUAAAACCUUAGUGUGUGUUGACAAUUAUUAGCUAUAUUUGGCAAUAAGGAGAAAAUUUUGGAGACCAUUAGACACAGUGCAAUAAGAAAGUGACAGGAACCCAGAGGAGAGAAUAGUCUGGCAAUUGGCGGCAUUGAAGUCUUAGAAAAUGUGUGUGCUUUUAAGCAAAAGAAAAGGGAAAUAAGUUUGAGAAAACAGCAAAUGCCUAUUAAGAUUCAGGCUUUUAGUUUUUCCACUGAAACUAGAUAGCCUCAAGGUAGCAGUCAUUAUGUUAAUAGAGAUAAAUGCUAGGCAAGGAUGCCAAGAAAUAAUGCAGAUUUCAGAAAUAUGCCUAUAGAAGUAUUUAUAUAUGGUAACCAGCACCAGGAACUGACUGAGAACAUGUAUAGAUCGGAAGCCCAUUAAGUUCUUGGGGGAUUUAUAUUGUCAAAUAUAAUUUCUAGAAUUCUGGCUACAAAAAUCGAUGGCAUCAAAGAUCAAUUUCAAAUGCCUCAAAAGACUCACUUCCUUCCCCAAAGGGUAGCACUUUCUCCUAGAGAUCUUGGACCGCAGCUGAAUGAAGUUACUAAAUGGUGGUAUUUUAGUGUUUCUCCCAUGUAGAGGAGUGAGUGUACUCUACACAUGGAAUAAAGAAUGAAGUGACGUUUCGGG